UACGUAGGGCGCAAGCGUUGUCCGGAAUUAUUGGGCGUAAAGAGCUCGUAGGUGGUUUGUCGCGUCUGUCGUGAAAGCCCAUGGCUUAACUGUGGGUCUGCGGUGGAUACGGGCAGGCUAGAGUUCGGUAGGGGAGACUGGAAUUCCUGGUGUAGCGGUGAAAUGCGUAGAUAUCGAUAGGAACUCCGGUGGCGAAGGCGGCAUACUGGUCCACUUCUGACGCUGAGGCGCGAAAGCCAGGGGAGCAAACGGG
rnacentral:rRNA from 1 species